UUUGAGGUCCAGGUACAGUUUGGGCAACUUUGGAGAUUCUAGAGUUACUUAAGAUGUAAACUGCGCAUAUGUGUCAGAAGUUUAACAAUAGAUGUAAGACUUUCUACGGUGCGUUUGAGCUCAUAUUUUGACACAAAAUAUAGCUUUAACUUAUAUUUCAAAUGCCAAUUGUUUGAGGUCGAUCAGACAAUUGGAUCAAAAGUUAUCCUCAUAUUACGAAGAGUGGUUCGUCUGACAUG
rnacentral:lncRNA from 1 species